rnacentral:rRNA from 1 species
CAUGGAGGGUGAGAAUCCCGUCCGGUUGAUCAUUGCGUUUUACGAUACGCUUUCAAAGAGUCAAGUUGUUUGGGAUUGCAGCUUAAAAUGGGAGGUAAAUUUCUCCUAAGGCUAAAUAACGGUGAGAGACCGAUAGCGAACAAGUACCGUGAGGGAAAGAUGAAAAGAACUUUGAAAAGAGAGUUAAAUAGUACGUGAAAUUGUUGAAAGGAAACGAUUGAAGCCAGUCGUACCUGUGGGUAAUCAGCCUUUUGGGUGUGAUUAUGUGGAGUGUGAGGAGUUAAACGCCUUUAUGCCUGCAUAUUCGUGUACUUUGGGUGUAUUUACCCGUGUGGUAAGUUAACAUCAAUUUUGGUCGUCAUAGAAUGGCUGGAGGAAUGUAGCUUCGAUCUCGUAUUGAAGUGUUAUAGCCUUCGGUAGAUGUGGUGAUCGGGAUUGAGGAUUGCAAUGAUACCCUUCGGGGCUAACCUGUUAGAUCAAAUUGAUGGUCAAUUGGUUACAUUCGUUAAGGAUGUUGACGUAAUGG